GUUAGGAAUAUUGGACAAUGGGCGAAAGCCUGAUCCAGCCAUGCCGCGUGAACGAUGAAGGCCUUCGGGUUGUAAAGUUCUUUAGCCGAUGAUUAUAAUGACUGUAGUCGGAAAAUAAGCCCCGGCUAACUUCGUGCCAGCAGCCGCGGUAAUACGAAGGGGGCGAGCGUUAUUCGGAAUCACUGGGCGUAAAGCGUGCGUAGGCGGUCUCGUAAGUUAGGAGUGAAAGCCCAGGGCUCAACCUUGGAAUUGCUCUUAAAACUGCAAGGCUAGAAUCUCGGAGAGGAUAGCGGAAUUUCCAGUGUAGCAGUGAAAUGCGUAGAUAUUGGAAGGAACACCAGUGGCGUAAGCGGCUAUCUGGACGAGUAUUGACGCUGAGGCACGAAAGCGUGGGGAUCAAACAGGAUUAGAUACCCGAGUAGUCC
rnacentral:rRNA from 1 species